rnacentral:tRNA from 1 species
ACUUAAAUAGCUUAUAAAAGAGUAUAGUAUUGAAGAUACUAUGGAGAUAGAAUUAUCUUUAAGUA